rnacentral:rRNA from 1 species
UGGGUAAUCUUUGAACGUGAAUCGUGAUGGGGAUAGAUGAUUGCAAUUAUUCAUCUUCAACGAGGAAUUCCUAGUAAACGCAAGUCAUCAGCUUGCAUUGAUUACGCCCCUGCCCUUUGUACACACCGCCCGUCGCACCUACCGAUUGAAUGGUCCGGUGAAAUCUUCGGAUCUGAGAGAUGUCUGAUUAAUUUCGGACGCCUUUUGGAAAAGUUGCUUAAACCUUACCAUUUAGAGGAAGGUGAAGUCGUAACAAGGUUUCCGUAGGUGAACCUGCGGAAGGAUCAUUA